UACAGAGGUCCCAAGCGUUGUUCGGAUUCACUGGGCGUAAAGGGUGCGUAGGUGGUGAAGUAAGUCGGAUGUGAAAUCUCGGAGCUCAACUCCGAAACUGCAUUCGAUACUGCCGUGCUUGAGGACUGGAGAGGAGACUGGAAUUUACGGUGUAGCGGUGAAAUGCGUAGAUAUCGUAAGGAAGACCAGUGGCGAAGGCGGGUCUCUGGACAGUUCCUGACGCUGAGGCACGAAGGCCAGGGGAGCAAACGGG
rnacentral:rRNA from 1 species